GAUACAUGGGGACCACUGCCUCGUUUACUGCGAAGUAGGGGUGUUGCAUGGAGACUGACCAGGCACUAAGAGCCUGUGUUUUAAGAAUUUAUUUAUGAGAGUUUGCAAACUGUUUUUUGCUUCCUACUUUAUAGGGUACUCUCUCUUGUUAGGAUAAGUGACUUCUGGCUUAUGGCUAAUUCUUACUGCUUGGGCAUUGGUAGCCUUCCCAGAGAUUCUUUUGUCCCAAGCUGUAGGGUUUGCUAUGUGUAGAAUAUGGCUGGGAACAGGCCCUUGUUCUUCCAGCUGAUUUGUCUUCGAAUCAAGAGAAGGUUGCUCGGGGCCUGUUAAUCGUGAUAUGGCCCCAAGGAGCUGAGAAGGUCUCUCCCCAGUUGUGGAGUAGGACACUCAGGCACCACUGGAAAGCCGUGUGAGGUUAAAUGCUGCUUGGAUUGGCAAGUGAGACACCUAGUGAAGUGAUGGGCUUUCCAUCCACACCAGUCUCUGUACAGGUUUUGGAGGGAAGAGGCCCAGUGUGAGAGCUCAGGCAGAGUAAGUGGCUCCCGUAUCAACUAAAAAUUGAUUUUCUUGCCUACCGUGUCAGGGACCACCCAGGACUCCUCAGUGGAGACAGAUGUCUCGUUGAGGGGAGCUGCCAGAACCCCAGGCCACCUCAGUCAUCCAGCGUGGCCAUCUCAGGGGCGGGAGCCCCCAUUCCCUUCCAGGACUGGGGAUAGUCCCACCUGCAGUCUCCCUGUUUGUUGCAGACUGGACGUGGACCAGGGGGUUCUUUUUGGCACUUUUGGGCCCAGUGGCUGGUCGACUUACAUUUGAAGCAUCCCUCUUGCUGAUUUUAACCGUCCUCCAGGUGGGUGGUUAAGCUCCCUUGGUCUCCCUGGGUUGUCCUGUGGUUGCAGGGCCUGGCUCAUGGCUGUUCCCUGGGUUGUCCUGAGGUUGCAAGGCAUUGCUGACAGCUGUCGUCAUAGCUUGAGCCCUGGUCUGCCUGUUUUUGUGUCAGGAUCUCUCUUCCUCCUCAGCUUGAUCUCGAUUAUUAAAUACCCCAAUUCCACCUCUAGGAGUUGGGACAUCAGGGUUUGUGGGCCUAAUUGUAACUUUUGGAGUUUCUGACUCAUUGGUGGCAGACUGGCUGAUGACGUGUUGUCGCGGCAGAGACUGACGCUCUACAGUGGAGGGUUCAACGUUAGUAAAUUUUCUACAAGCCUCCACAAGAUGUCCCUAGAAGAGGGCUGGGUUUUCAUUUUCUUCUUGGGUUACUCCAUUAACCUUUUCAUAGUUAACUGGCUUUUUGUUAGAUUUUCUCAUCCGUUCUAAUAACACAGUGGAUGACGUGUUUCAUGGCUUCUGAUCCCUCUCAGGAAUGAUAAUAACAACAGGGCUCCUGACUUGGGGUUGCAUCUUCACCCAUAACAAAAUAUUCAGUUUGGUCAAGCUGGUCACUGUUUCCCUGGGCUGCUGCCCAAAUUCUCUGUUUUGUCCUCAGGUUUGAACAUCCUUCCAAGUCACGUCAAAGGCCAGAGUUAGGGCCUGAAAAUCUGCAGCAAACUUACUAGUGUCUUUGAUAAACUGGCCCAGUCUUUGUUUGCACUGGGCUAACUCAGUUAAAGAGAAGGGCACGUGUACUGUGACUGUCCUGUCACCACUUGCCACUUCCCUUUGAGGGUAUAUUUUCUCUGAUCCUGAGUGAUAGGAAGUUUGACUACCAGUUACCCUGGGGCUCUAGUCUCUCUCCUGGGAUGACAAAGGGAAUAUGGAAAUAGGGAGGUGAGUUUGGGAUUGGUCAGAGGGAACUAGGAAACUUGGUGGCUCUGGAGAAGCAGGGGAGACUUGCUUUCACCCCUGAAAAUUAGGGGAAGUUAAAAAGGCAAUCAUCUAAAAUGUCGGGAGUGCUUUUCCCAGGCUUUUGAUUGCAGGAGCCCAGUAGAGCAGGGUUUGGGUAAAGAAACAUGAAGGCUUGAGCAUUCCCAUAUUGCAAUAGUGAAGCUCCAGUUGCAAGAUGGUUUUGCAAUUUAGAGACUCAUUUUCAGGCCAUUUUUUUCUAUCCCCCCAACUUAUAUAAAAGCCAAGUAGUGUUACAGUAGAAUUUGUUUUUCCUGUUCAGCUUGUCUGU
ensembl:lncRNA